rnacentral:rRNA from 1 species
GACGAACGCUGGCGGCGUGCUUAACACAUGCAAGUCGAACGGUGAAGGGACCGGCUUGCUGGUUCUGGAUGAGUGGCGAACGGGUGAGUAACACGUGAGUAACCUGCCCCCUUCUUCUGGAUAACCGCAUGAAAGUGUGGCUAAUACGGGAUAUUCUGGGUCUGUCGCAUGGCGGGCCCGGGAAAGAUAUUGCUUCGGUGGGGGAUGGGCUCGCGGCCUAUCAGCUUGUUGGUGGGGUGAUGGCCUACCAAGGCGGUGACGGGUAGCCGGCCUGAGAGGGUGGACGGUCACACUGGGACUGAGACAAGGCCCAGACUCCUACGGGAGGAAGCAGUGGGGAAUAUUGCACAAUGGGCGCAAGCCUGAUGCAGAGACGCCGCGUGAGGGAGGGAGGCCUUCGGGUUGUAAACCUCUUUCGCCAGUGAAGCAGGCCUGCUCAUUGUGGGUGGGUUGACGGUAGCUGGAUAAGAAGCGCCGGCUAACUACGUG